rnacentral:lncRNA from 10 species
CUUGAGUGUUUCUUUAGGGGAAAUCACCACCUCCCAUUCUUACUCCUUGUGGGUUCUGUGGAAUUAACUUUAACUCCUACUCUAGGGAAGACCAUGUGACCCUGGUCUGGCCAAGAGAAGAAGGGCAUCUCCUGGCCAUAGGGAUAGACCCAGAGAUGGACACACAACCAAGCAGGACCAGCAAGCACCUGCCCCAGGACCUCUGCAGGAACUACUAGGAGCUGCUUUCCUUCUGCAGGUUGAUAUGCCUGAAGAAGAAGCAGGCGACCACAUCGUGUACCCUCAACCACCAAGAUGAACUCGGGGAGCAGGGCGGGGAGGACAGGCCCAGAGGCUGACUUCAAGUCUGGUCCAGUUCCUACAGAUGAGGAAACUGAGGCUGAGUGAGGAAGAGUCCUGUCUCCACCCAGCAAUCAUCUGCCACAUAUGCCUUCUCCACCUUCUUAUCCACUGACAGAAUGGACACGAAGAAAGAUGAAUGGGGCCACACCAGGGCUAGGAGAGCUCAGAUGGACUUUCUGAUAUUUCUUGUGCUGGAGAAAGCUCAGAGCAACCUGACAUGGCCAGUUGUGCAAAGCAUAUUGCCUCUCUUUGGUGCCAUAUCUUUUUCCCUUUGAUGUGUGAUCACUUCAUUCCCUCCUUGAUUGCUUUUCAAAAGCAAUCUAAAUUAAUGCGAACCCACAAAGGGCAAGGCUCUCUGUGAAUAAUUAGUGCAUGAUAAUAAAUGCAAAUAGGGAAAGAUGCAAAGUUGGCCUAAGAACUACUGCUCCCUGCUCCCCUGCCCAUUCUCUCCACAUUGGGAAUUCUCUUUACAUUAUUAAAGAAAGAAUUUGAGUAAACUUGAGAAAGGGUGGUAUUCCUAAGCAGAGCACUGGAUUCAUUGAAGGAUGGUAGAAAGAAAGAACAGAAGCUAAAAGAAUCAGACCAGUGACUGCUACAGGGUCUUUGUCCUUUUUUUGUAGGUUCCACUGAAGACAAAACACUUGUCUAGAUUUCUGCCAUUCAGAGGAGGACAUAUCAUCACAGUCAAGAAGGAGCCACCAUAAUUUGGUCCUGUCCACUCAGGAUUUUAUCCUACAAACCCUGAGCUCCAGUCAAUCUUGUCUCCUUUCUGCUCCUUGGCUAAAUCAAAUUAAAAACAAAUCCAAAGCCGGGGAUGAGAUGUGUUCAGACCUUCCGUAAAACUGUCUUGAAUAUUAUGCAGAGAGAACUGGACAAACUGAAGGUUAGGAAAUGUUUCAGCUGGUAAGGCAAGCCCCUGCUUAUUCUCCAUCAAAUCGUUUGUCCCGAGUCCCUUCUGGAAGUCAGUUUUUAUCUAUUGUCAUAUUUAAUGGGCAGAGCUGUAUGGGAAGGGGAUGAAGUAUCUGUGGAGCCUGAAAAUUGGACUCCUCCAAUCCCUUUAUUCAAGAUCAUAGAUUAUUAGAUCAAUACAAGAUUUGGGCAGGGACACACAUCCAAACUGUAUCAUCUCCCAUGCACCCCAUAUUCCCUACACUUCCUGUAAUCCAGGGACAGAAAACAGAUUUCAGCUCAAGUGCCUUCUAAUCCAUUUACAAUGGCUGCCAGGAGGGCUAUAUUCAGAAUAGUCUGAGAGCAUGUCUGGGAUCAGUAGGAAAUGGGUGAGAAAAUCCAGAAGUUUCAUGUCCUUCACAUCUCUGUCAUUCCUGAUUGAGUCCACCCCUGUCAUUUUCACUGUGGCCAAAUUAAGGCCUUAAAGGAAGAACUGACACCCAGCAUCACAGAGUAAAUUGAUAAAAAGAACCCAGCUCUCCCUGAAUCUCUUAUUUUCCUAUAAUCCAGAGUUUAAGACAGGAGAUGGAUCUAAGAGUACAGUCAUAAUACUAUAACCAUUUCUAAAUGCUUACUAUGUGCCAAGUACUAUCCUAAGUGCUUUUCAUGUAUAUUCGCAUUUAAUCCUGCCAGAACACUGAGAAAUAAUCAUCCCCGCUUAACGGGUGAAAUUGACACACAAGAGUGGUCAAGUAACCCAUCCAAUAUCCCAGGACCAGUAAGUGACAAAGUAGGGAUUGACACACGGCAAGAAUAGAACAGAACUGGGUCUAGAAACAUCCUCACACAAUCGGUGGAAGAUUCUGGUAAUUACACCAACACAUACAAAGUCAAUUCGCAUUGGAAAAAUACCCCAUGAAGGCCCAGUGAUCUUUUCAGCCCUGGUGAUGUCAAAGGCUGCAGAAUAAGGAGUGGAAAGUCCUAGUUACCAUGACAGGAAGCACCAGUGAGUGAUUUAGAAGGCAGGAGAUGAGAACAGGCAAUUCAGCAGGACUCAGGUAGGACGCUGAGCUCUUGGCAUGAACAGAUAGGUUUCGCCAUGGUCUCGAGUAUGACAGGUUGGUCCCAAAAGGUCCAGUUUUGCUCAAAAGAUUCCCUGAAACUGAAAAUGUAGUAUAACGGAAUAUCACUGGCUGGCUCCAAUCCUCGGGGCUUGCUGUUUCAGAAGAGAAAGAGGCGCCCAUCGAUGUAUUUAUAGGCUUAAAGCUGGCAUGCACUGAAGCUACCUGGGGUUACUCAACAACUGUUUUAGGGCACAUUUCCUCCAUCUUUUUGUUUCAUUAGGUUUUAGUCGGUCAGCUAUCUGGGGCCUGAAUUAGGAUUUCACACACAUCCAGAGCCAAAUGACAAAACAAACAAAAGAAGCCCUGUGACUAAAACAGAACUUGGGGUCAGCAGCUCAGUAAGGGUGGCCCCCUGGAAACAACUCCUGUGUAGGAUCAAAGGAAAGUCAAGUGGUAUGUCACAUCCCAGGGCUGGGGACCCUUAGGGGAGGGGAGCCCCACUGCCUUGAGCUCAGCCAGUCACCCCUUUGUUCCACGACCUUGGCCUGCAAAGUUCUUCCCUCCCAUCCCUGAGCAAAAUCCUAAAGUUCCUUCAAGUUCUGGCCCAAGUGUCGACUUCUUUGGGAAGUCUUCCCUUACUCCAUCCCUACCCCACCUCUUCUUCCUACAGAAAAAAAAAGAAGUUUCUCGUCCCCCUCCUCCACACUCUGUCCUCAGUUCCCAGCCCAUCCCACAAGUCUCUGGAGACUGGGAGAGCAUAGGUGUGGAGUCGCCCUCAUUCACCACUUUAGAGAGACUGGAACAACAUCAGCAGCCCUGUGGAGGCAAGCCCAGGCCCAGGCACUAUGGUCUCCCGGAUUAUAAUGAUUCACACACGGAAAACAUUGGAGAGAAAAAGCUGAAAAGGAAUAUGCUGCCCAAAUUUCUCUACCAUGAGCAAGUAUUGCUUUUAUCAUUGGAAAAACAUAAAAUAAACAUUUUAAUGGACUGCACAUUUCUCACGCUAAAGGAGCUAAUGGUGUUUCCUAUUGUGUGGAAAACAGACCUGAACCCAUCCACAGGAUGCUGAAGAAUCCACAAAUUACGGCACGCAUUGACAGUGCCUAUGUACAUGGGAAGGAGGAAACUCAGCCUGCCUGGGGCAUCAGGGAAGGCUCCACACAGGACAGGAUGAGUGAGAGCUCUCCAGUUAGACUAGGGAAGAUGAGGCAGAAGGGAAUUCAAGGCAGAAGGAACAGUAUGGUCAAAGGCAGAGUCAUGAAUGUGCAAGCUAAAUAAUAUGGCUGGAAUGUGGGAGAUAUGGGAGAUGAUAUCAUUUGGAUGGGUGUCCCCGUUCAAAUCUCACAUUGAACGAUAAUCCACAGUGUUGGAGGUGAGCCCUGGUAAGAGGUGACUGGAUCAUGGGGGCAGAUUUCUCAUGAAUGAUUAGCACCAUCCCCCUUGGUACUGUUUUCACCACAGUGAGUUCUUGUGAGUUCUGGUUAUUUAAAAGUGUGUAGCAUCUCCCCCCUCACUUUCUCUCACUCCUGUUUUUGCCAUGUGAUAUGCCUACUCCCCUUUCAGGUUCCACCAUGAUCGUAAGUUUCCUGAGGCCUCCCCAGAAGAUGUUGGCACCUCAUUUCCUGUAAAGCCUGCAGAACCAUGAGCGAAUUAAAUCUCUUUUCUUUAUAAAUCACCCAGUCUCAGGUAUUCCUUUAUAGCAAUGCAAGAAUGGCCUAAUACUGGAGAGAAUCGUGGAUGUGAGGUAUGCAAUAAAAGGUUAACUCCACUAGCUUGGGGUCCUCAAACUCUGCACCUUCCAAAGAAAGAACUGGCCCUUGACCAGCCCCCGGGAAAUAACCUCUGAGCCCUUGGAAUAUCGUGCCUGAUGGAAUAGAGUAUCUUUGUAUCGCUGGGGCUUUGGGCCACCCCACAUAGUUUAUGCUAACAGUGUAAUUCAUGAUAAAGGCCUGUUUUUGUUUACCUGGAGUCCCAGCCCAUGCUGUAUCGGUUUGAUUCCAGGCAUGCAGGGGUUGCAUAGAGACUGAGUAGCCAAGGUCAGUCACGUGGGUGACUCAUACCUCCGUGACUGACUCCCUUCUCCUAACAAAAACCCUGGACACCAAGGGGCAGUUGGGUUUCCCUGCUAUGUUUUGUCACACAUCAUUGCUGGGAGAGUUCAGUGCUAUCCAAGUGACUCCCCCGGGAGAGGACAACUGGAAAUUUAUGCCUGGUGUCUUCCUGGACUCCGACCUAUGCACCUUUUUCCUUGGAUGAUUUUAACCUGUCUCCUUUUGCUGCAAUGAACCAUAACCAUGAGUAUAUCAGCUUUUCUAAUUUUUGUGAGUCCCUCAAGUGAAUUAUCAAACCUAAGGUAGUUUUGGGACCCCCAUCACAGAGAGUCAAACAGGGGCAGGGCAAGAAGAGCUGCUUUUCCUGGAAGGCUAAUGAGUCUGAACUUCGCCCUGGAGGUAAUCGUUAUAGUAACUCCAGGCUCUAACCUGGAGCUGACAUGAUAAGGUCAAAUGUACACCUCUAGAAGACUUCCGACUGCAGAGGGGAAUGGAUGGGGGAGCUGAGGGAGGAGAGCUGAAGCAGGAAGACCAUGGCCUGGAAAGAGAUGGCUGAACCAGUCCAGGUGGCGAGGAGUCCAUGUCAGCUGCCGUCAUCCACACCACAGAUCAGACAUGGCAAAGAGUGGCCAGGCCUUCUGAGUGAAGGUGAUCCAACCUGUCACCAAGCCUAAGGGCAAAUCCUGGCUGUGCUGUGAUGGCUCCAACAACCCCAAACAGCAGCGCAGAGGCUGCAGCCGCCCUCGGAGGCAACACUGGGAAACGCUCAUUAGCAGCCUUCCAUUGCUCACCCGCCCCAUCCCACCUCUGUGCAUCCCAGAUCAUCAGCGAAGUGCACAGCUGGCUUCCAUCCUCGGAGCCUUCCUCCUUCAUUUGCCUAUUCAACAGUUACAAAGGCCUGAGUUGCAAAGGGGCUUACAACCCAUUCCACCCAGAAGAAAGAGAACUGAGACUGAGCAAGACAGAGAAUAGGUGGAAGGGGAGAUGAAACCAAGCAAUCUCUAGAUCCCAAAUGGGGACCCUGAUGUAGCAAGAGCCUCUUUUAAAUCCUUUUCCAAUAGGGUAAUAUGGAAAAUAGUUGAAAGCACAAGCCAAGUGGGGCUGGAAUCCCAAAUGGGCCAUUUACUAGCUGUGUGACUGGACAAGUAAUUUCAUAUUUCUGGGCCUCGAUUUUUCUCAUCUGUAAAAUAGAAAAAAAAAAACCUAUGUCAUAACGUUGAUAAACAGAUUAGAUGAGCUAAGAUCUAAAAUGUCUUCUAUUCAGUAGGUGCUCAAUAAAUGUUAUCUAUUUUUACGAUUGAGUCUCUAAGUCUGGAGAUUAAGGAGGAAAGUUUCACAUGCUGGGUUCUGCAGGUAAUACAGUGAGACAUGGUUUCUGUACUCAUGCUCCUAACUUAGGUGGCAACAGCUGAGAGGAUAGUCUGAGGCUGUGCAGGGCUGAAAGCCUCCUGAGAGGUCAUCUGAUCCCCUAUUUUCAUGGGUGAGAAAACAGAGAUGUAAAACAACCUUCUCCCAAAGUCAACAGCAAGAUAGUGCCAAAGUCAACACUAGAACCCAGGGCUCCAGGCUUCUAUUGUUCUUUCCCCUCCAAUAAAAACCUAAUGACAGGAUGCCACAAGUCAGGACGUGAAUAAAAUUUCAAAUAACUUGCCAUAGAGAACACUGUGCCCUGUCCAGAUCCCUGUUCCCAGGCCAUGUACCAUCCCUUGGCUGCUUUGGGUGGUGGCUACCAGUGGCUCACAGCUGCCCUGUCCUCUGGAGAAUUGCCACCCCCACCGUCCCCACACCCAGCUGAUGAGGGAGAUUAUACCCAGUGCUGUGUUGGCAAAUGUUUAGCAGCCACUUUCUGGUGGGGUAGGAGGAGCCCUGGCUUGAGUAUUUGCCACUUUCCCUGGUGUAAAUAUUCCCACCAUGGCCGACUCCAAGCUCCCAGCAAGACAUCACCGAAGGUGGAGUUGUGGAGAGAUGCACAUAGCUCUCCAUCACAUAGUGUUUCCACCAUAAAGAUCCAAUAACCAAAAAUAACUGCAAGUGCACAGAUUUUUAAAACUGUAGUAAAAUAAUUAGGAAGUGAUGACUUUUGAAUAUGUAUUUCCAUUGUUUCAGCAUUAUUUACUUAAUUAUAACUUUACAUGAUUUAAUUGUUAAUAGUGGCUCACAACGUUCCUAAAAACGUGACCACCACAAGCUCGUAAGGGUCAGGUCCAACACAACACUGGUUUACCCCCACUCCCACCCUGCCAGCCUGAGGCCAGUGACUGAUGACAUGAGGAUACAAAAAGCUGGCUGUUCAUCUCAUCUAGGGGUGAGGAACAACUUGUGGUGUGAUUAAUAGCAGAGCUCCCAUGGAUCAGGCCCAGACUAGGAUUACCUGAAGCCACUUCCUCCCUCAGCUCCUCCCCCUCCCCAUCCUUCUGUUGCCACCUCCUUACAGGUAUUUCCAGAAAGGCACACCAAUAAACAGCAUGCACCCAAGGCCCCGUCUCAGGCUCUAUUUCUAAAAAACUCAACCUAAGCCAUGCACACUGGCUCACACCUGUAAUCUCAGCACGUUGGAAGGUCAAGGUGGGAGGAUCACUUGAGCCCAGGAGUUCAAGACCAGCCCAAGCAACACAGCAAGACGCCAUCUCUACAAAAAAUAAAAAAAUUAGCCAGGAGUGCUGGUGUGCGCCUGCAGUCCUCGCUAAUCAUGAGGCUGAGGCAGGAGGAUCACUUGAGCCCAAGAGUUUGAGGCUACAGUGAGCCAUGAUCACACCAUUGCACUCCAACCUGGGUGAUAGAGCAAGACCCUGUCUCCAAAAAAAACAACAAAAAAGAAAAGAACCCAAUCGAAAAUACUUGUACAGAGUGAAAAUUUAGGGAGAAAAUUUAGAAAAGAUCAUUGUGGCUUUGGAGGAAUCCCAGGAAGCUUUCUGCAGGAGGUGGGAUCCAAAGAGUGGGUAGGAUUUUGAUUUGGAAAUGAAAGCCAGGAACCCUCCAGACGGAGAGAGCAGUUUAAUCCAGGUGAAACCAACAACCAUGCAUUUGACAAGUCCGUCUGCCCAGCGGGGCGGGGUUUUCCUAGAGACAAGCCAUGAGCCCUGGGGACCACCCAUUAAGGACUGCCAAAGUUGGAGGAGGGGGCGUUUCCAUGGCUACGGUGUGAUUAAGAAAGAUGUGUGGCUCUCUGGCAAGGGCAGUAUGGUGUGCUAGUUUGCACUAGAAACAUCAUCUGUACCAAAACCUUUGGAGCCAGAAGGUCGUCUUUGGAUCAUUUACUGCCACUGAUGGAUGAAAGCUUUCAGUUGUAAAAGAGCCCACUGAGUCAAGGAAGACAUCUUCUUCUUCAGAGGCUGUUCAAUUCCCACAUGCAGUGAUGAGGAAGACUGGG